rnacentral:lncRNA from 1 species
AUCAUGGAUUAAUUGUAAACAUAAAGAAAGACACUGAAAAAAAAAACAUAUCAAAGCUAUGGCUUUGGGGCAAACUCCAGUGCCACGGAAGCUAGAAUGUUUUCUUUUAUCAGAGCUCCCUUUCUGGCCUCUGAAAUUACUUCUUUCAUGUCUGAUAGUGAAGAACGAAGCCGCCUGCUCCCCGGAGAUGCGCGAUUGUUACCAUGGUCUCAUAACAUAUUGGCAGCCGAUGUGGCGUCCGCGUACACCUGUCACUCAGGUCUCCCGCGCAGAUGCGGCAGGCAGGCUCCGUUCGACGCGGGCCCCCUGCCCCCACCCCCACCUGGCGCCUGCACACUCAGGGCCCACGGCCGCGGGGCGGCGCAUCCGGGCUCGCGUGGCCGCGCGGGGGGCGGGCGCUGGCUGGUGGCUCUGCAGGGCGGCGGGGACCCCAGCGCUCGCCCCGCUGACCUCCCUCCAGCCAAGCGACCGGCCUCGGUCAGGCGGAAGAGUGGAGGCCCCAGAGAUCUGAGGUUUAGCUUAUCUGUUUGCCUGGUGAGAAAAUCCAGAGAGACAGGAUCUGAAGCUUCUAUUUACCUUUUGUAACCGAAAUCAAGAGCUCUGUAAACUAUCUUCCUAGAGGCUUAAAUUUAAGUAUGACUUCCUUUUUUCCGCCUAUGGGUCACCCUCAAAAUACAUUAAAAGCAUAGCCAAUUUGGACUCACAGAGAAUACUUUUCAGUAGAUAGUGAACACAAAAAAAUGUGUGUUGUAUACACCUGUACAAUCUAUGUUGUAUGACUGUAUACGUCUGUGAUGUGUUCAGAUGACACACUGGGAAAGAAGAGACCCUCUGUAGAUUCCAACACCAUUCCAACGGAGGAUAGGCUAACUCGCAGCCCUCUGAGAGCUCCUUUUCUCAUGGAACCUUCACUAUGAUCUUGGAAAGUCAGGUGUCAGUAUCUCUCAUCUAUGAUAAGAAAACCAGUCAUUUGUCCAGGUCACACAAUUAGUAAUAGGGUGGAUUAUGAAGACAAAUCUAACCCAAACUGGGAAUCCAUUUUCACCACAUCUAAUGAAGCCAAGUCUAGUUCACUUGAGGAAAUAAACUUUGAGAAGCACCCA